rnacentral:lncRNA from 1 species
AUGAGCGAGUCGAUCUCGAAGUCCAGCCAGCCCUUGGCCUCCAAGCAGGAAAAGGAUGGCACUGAGAAGCGGAGCUGGGGCAGGCCGCGCAAGCAGCCUCUGGUGAGUCCCAGGACAGCGCUGGGAGGGAGUCAGAAGGAGCCCAGUGAAGUGCCAAAACCUAAGAGACCUCAGGGCCGACCAAAUGGAAGGAAAAACAAGGACGCUGCCAAGACCUGGAAAACCACCACAACUCCAGGAAGGAAACCAAGGGGCAGACCCAAAAAACUGGAGAAGGAGGAAGAGGAGGGCAUCUCACAGGAGUCCUCGGAGGAGGAGCAAUGACCGUGCUUGCGUGUCGCCUGCUCCUCACUGGAGGAGCAGCUUCCUUUUGGGACUGGACAGCUUUGCUCCGCUCCCACCGCCCCCGUCCCUUCCCCAGGCCCACCAUCACCACCGCCUCCAGCCGCCACCCCUGUCUUCCACCUGCGACUUCACCACCACACUACACAGCACACCAGCAGCUUCAGGGCCCCCAUGGGCUGAGUGGGGAGCAGUUUUCCCCUGGCCUCAGUUCCCAGCUCCCCCCGCCCACCCACGCAUACACAUGUGCCCUCCUGGACAAGGCUAACGUUCCACUUAGCCGCACCCGGCACCUACUGCGUCCCCACUCCUUUGGUGGUGGGGACAUUGCUUUUUGGGCUUUUGGUUUGGGGGCGCCCUCUCUGCUCCUCCAUUGUUCCCUCUGGCUUCCCACAGUGGGGCCUGGGAGGGUUCCGCUGGCCUUAAAAGGGGCCCAAGCCCCAUCUCAUCCUGGCCUGCCCUACUCCACUGCCCUGGCAGCAGCAGGUGUGGCCAAUGGAGGGGGCUGCUGGCCCCCAGGAUUCUACCAGCCAAGCUGUCUUCCUCACCACGUGGGGCUCACACCUUUCAUCCUUCCCCACCUUCCCUAGUCCCUACACUAGGUUGGAUAGCCCCCUUUGGCUACAGGAAGGCAGGAGGGGUGUGAGCCCCCUACUCCCUCUUUGCAGUGGCCCCAGCCCCCUUGCCCUCCACCUGGGAUCUGAGUACUUAUUGCAGUGA